GUGGCAGGGGCGGCGGUAAUACGUAGGGGCCAAGCGUUGUCCGGAUUUAUUGGGCGUAAAGGGCUUGUAGGCGGUUUGACAAGUCGGUCGUGAAAACCUGGGGCUCAAUCCUGGGACGCCGGUCGAAACUGUCAUGACUAGGGUCUGGUAGAGGUGAGUGGAAUUCUCAGUGUAGCGGUGAAAUGCGCAGAUAUUGAGAGGAACACUAGUAGCGAAGGCGGCUCACUGGGCCGGUACCGACGCUGAGGAGCGAAAGCGUGGGGAGCAAACAGGAUUAGAUACCCUGGUAGUCCACGCCGUAAACGUUGAACACUAGGUGUGGCGAGUUAAUCUAUACUUGCCGUGCUGCAGCUAACGCAUUAAGUGUUCUGCCUGGGGAGUACGGCCGCAAGGCUAAAACUCAAAGGAAUUGACGGGGCCCUGCACAAGCGGCGGAGCAUGCGGCUUAAUUCGAUGCAACCUGAAGAAUCUUACCUGGACUUGACAUUAUGGGUCUAUCCCUAGAGAUAGGGAGUGUUUAUGCGCCCAUAACAGGUGGUGCAUGGCUGUCGUCAGCUCGUGUCGUGAGAUGUUGGGUUAAGUCCUGUAACGAGUGCAACCUUUGUCCUAUGUUGCCAGCAUUUAGUUGGGGACUCAUAGGAGACUGCCGGGGACAACUCGGAGGAAGGCGGGGACGACGUCAAGUCAUCAUGCCCUUUAUGUCCAGGGCUGCACGCAUGCUACAAUGGGCUAUAUAAUGGGCUGCGAUCUCGCGAGGGUGAGCCAAUCCCUUAAAAUGGUUCUCAGUUCGGAUUGGAGUCUGCAACUCGACUCUAUGAAGCCGGAGUCGCUAGUAAUCGCAAAUCAGCAAAGUUGUGGUGAAUACGUUCUUGGGGCUUGUACACAUCGCCUGUCACAUCACGGAAGUCGGUAACGCUUGAAGUCAGUGGCCUAACCUCUUUGGGGAAGGAGCUGUUGAAGGUGGGAUCGGUGACUGGGAUGAAGUCGUAACAAGGUAACC
rnacentral:rRNA from 1 species